rnacentral:rRNA from 1 species
ACGGGAGGCAGCAGUGGGGAAUAUUGUCCAAUGGGGGAAACCCUGAGACAGCGAUGCCGCGUGAGUGAUGACGGCCUUCGGGUUGUAAACUCUGUCGUAAGGGACGAAAAACAUAUCGCUAAUAUCGGUAUGCUCGACGGUACCUUGCAAGAAAGCUCCGGCUAACUACGUGCCAGCAGCCGCGGUAAUACGUAGGGAGCAAGCGUUGUCCGGAGUGACUGGGCGUAAAGAGCACGUAGGCGGUUUGAUAUGUCGGAUGUGAAAAUCCAGGGCUUAACUUUGGACCUGCAUCCGAAACUGUUAAACUUGAGUACAGGAGAGGAAAGCGGAAUUUCUAGUGUAGCGGUGAAAUGCGUAGAUAUUAGGAAGAACACCAGUGGCGAAGGCGGCUUUCUGGACUGGAUCUGACGCUGAGGUGCGAGAGCUAGGGGAGCGAACAGGAUUAGAUACCCUGGUA